rnacentral:rRNA from 1 species
AGAGAGAGACAUGCGCGCAUAUCAAUAAGCGGAGGAAAAGAAACUAACAAGGAUUCCCCUAGUAACGGCGAGUGAAGCGGGAAGAGCUCAAAUUUGAAAUCUUAAAGGGUUUCCCUUUACGAAUUGUAGUUUAAAGAAGUGUUUUCUGUUGAGGUUUUGGUAAAAGUUCUUUGGAAUAGGACAUCAUAGAGGGUGAGAAUCCCGUAUUUGACCUUUACUUUCCAACUUUGUGAUACACUUUCAAAGAGUCGGAUUGCUUGGGAAUGCAGUCCAAAAUGGGUGGUAAAUUUCAUCUAAAGCUAAAUAUUGGCGAGAGACCGAUAGCGAACAAGUACCGUGAGGGAAAGAUGAAAAGAACUUUGAAAAGAGAGUUAAACAGUACGUGAAAUUGUCAAAAGGGAAGCGUUUGACACCAGUGUUGUUUUUCUGAAAAUCAAUUAAAGAGCUGUUUAUGCUAAGUUGUUUAGACUUUAUCAGCUAUCUGUUUAGUUUUGAGCUUUUCUUUAAUGCACUUUUCAGUUAACAAGUCAACAUCAAUUUCUUUUGCUGUAAAAAAGCUUGAGGAAGGUGGCUUGAGAUUCGUCUUAAGUGUUUAUAGCCUCUUGCCUAUGCAGUCGGAGAGAUUGAGGUCUGCAGCGUAGAUCCUUCGGGGCUAAAUGCAUUUGUGCUAAGUUAUAGCAUUUUAUAGACAACUUGUUGACUAUGAUUUGUCUUGUAGCUUACUCGCUUAUGUUAUUUUACCUACGCUUAGGAUGUUGAGCGCAUGUCUCUCUCU